AACGAACGCUGGCGGCAGGCCUAACACAUGCAAGUCGAACGCCCUAGCAAUAGGGAGUGGCAGACGGGUGAGUAACGCGUGGGAAUAUCCCCCUCAGUACGGAAUAGCCCAGGGAAACUUGGAGUAAUACCGUAUACGUCCGUGAGGAGAAAGAUUUAUCGCUGAGGGAUUAGCCCGCGUAGGAUUAGCUAGUUGGUGAGGUAAUGGCUCACCAAGGCGACGAUCCUUAGCUGGUCUGAGAGGACGAUCAGCCACACUGGGACUGAGACACGGCCCAGACUCCUACGGGAGGCAGCAGUGGGGAAUAUUGGACAAUGGGCGCAAGCCUGAUCCAGCCAUGCCGCGUGAGUGACGAAGGCCUUAGGGUUGUAAAGCUCUUUUGGCGAGGACGAUAAUGACGGUACCCGCAGAAUAAGCCCCGGCUAACUUCGUGCCAGCCGCCGCUGUAAAAC
rnacentral:rRNA from 1 species